rnacentral:miRNA from 14 species
AUCCCGGACGAGCCCCCAUUAUUAUGAAAGAUCCCACGCAGAGAGACCCUUACUCAAGUCUUGGGAAAUCGCGGACCCCAGACACAGAGAGACCA